CUGGAGGUAUCAGAAGUGCGAAUGCUGACAUAAGUAACGAUAAAGCGGGUGAAAAGCCCGCUCGCCGGAAGACCAAGGGUUCCUGUCCAACGUUAAUCGGGGCAGGGUGAGUCGACCCCUAAGGCGAGGCCGAAAGGCGUAGUCGAUGGGAAACGGGUUAAUAUUCCCGUACUUGGUGUUACUGCGAAGGGGGGACGGAGAAGGCUAUGUUGGCCGGGCGACGGUUGUCCCGGUUUAAGCGUGUAGGUGUGUGUUCCAGGUAAAUCCGGUUCACUUUAACACUGAGGCGUGAUGACGAGGCACUACGGUGCUGAAG
rnacentral:rRNA from 1 species